UUGUAAACUGCUUUUAUAAGGGAAUAAAGUGAGUCUCGUGAGACUUUUUGCAUGUACCUUAUGAAUAAGGACCGGCUAAUUCCGUGCCAGCAGCCGCGGUAAUACGGAAGGUCCGGGCGUUAUCCGGAUUUAUUGGGUUUAAAGGGAGCGUAGGCCGGAGAUUAAGCGUGUUGUGAAAUGUAGACGCUCAACGUCUGCACUGCAGCGCGAACUGGUUUCCUUGAGUACGCACAAAGUGGGCGGAAUUCGUGGUGUAGCGGUGAAAUGCUUAGAUAUCACGAAGAACUCCGAUUGCGAAGGCAGCUCACUGGAGCGCAACUGACGCUGAAGCUCGAAAGUGCGGGUAUCGAACAGGAUUAGAUACCCUGGUAGUCCGCACGGUAAACGAUGGAUGCCCGCUGUUGGUCUGAAUAGGUCAGCGGCCAAGCGAAAGCAUUAAGCAUCCCACCUGGGGAGUACGCCGGCAA
rnacentral:rRNA from 1 species